UACGAAGGGGGCUAGCGUUGUUCGGAAUCACUGGGCGUAAAGCGCAUGCAGGCGGAUCGCUAAGUCGGGGGUGAAAUCCCGAGGCUCAACCUCGGAACUGCCUUCGAUACUGGCGAUCUUCGAGUCCGGGAGAGGUGAGUGGAACUCCGAGUGUAGAGGUGAAAUUCGUAGAUAUUCGGAAGAACACCAGUGGCGAAGGCGGCUCACUGGCCCGGUACUGACGCUGAGAUGCGAAAGCGUGGGGAGCAAACAGG
rnacentral:rRNA from 1 species